GCCAUCACCCAGUCUUCGGCUCUCAACUCGACACCAUUGGCGGCAAAGGAAAAUUGGAUUAUCGCCGCCGGUAAGUCAUGACGUUUUCUUCUCCAAUUUUCAUGAAUUUUCUUGUUUGUUUUUUGAGACAAAUUUGGGAAAGAAAAGACAACAAAAUGUUGGCCUCUGCAUAGUACAAAAUUUGGGUCUGAUAUUAAUUUCUGUCAUCAGGAGAGCAAAAAGAUAAAAACUUUCAUCUGGGUACAAGUCAUAUUAGGGAUUUUUGACGUUAAUUGGUUCCAAGUUGAGUUUUUGAGGCUUGAUCAUCUUAUUGUUUGAACUUUCUGAGAAUGGUUCAUAUUUGGAUAGUAGUGCUGUUAAUAAAGUUGUCUUCUUUGUCUCUGAAUUCUCAUUUCUAUAGUGUUCUUGUUGUUCAUCUCAUCCAUUAAUGUUUUCUAUUGUUGUUGUUGAUGAUGUUUGUUUAAACUCAGAAACAUCUCAUCCAUUAAUGUUUUCUAUUGUUGUUGUUGAUGAUGUUUGUUUAAACUCAGAAACGAUUCUACAAAUUACUAUAUACAGAUAAGAUUGUUAGCUGGGCUUUAACAUGUGAGCCAUCAAUAUAAGGAGACUUUGAGGACCUGAAAAAAUUCUAACCCAAAGCUAUAAGUUUUUGAAAACUGUUGUAGAUUCGCUCAAGCAUUUCUUAGAUUCUUUCUAUUCAUUGUUUUUUUUUCCAUAUGGUAUGUUCUUAUUGAGCUAUUUUGUGAUAGUAGCUGUUUGCUAGUUACGGGGUUUUUUCUGGGUAGAAGUGUACUGUGUUGAUGUGGAUCUUGAUUUGGUAUUUUUUUGUUGGAACAUGGCUGUAAUUAAGGAUGAUUGUGUUUUUAAAUUGUGAAAUUUUAGUUUGGAUGAAAACUAGUGUGCCUCUGCCUAUAAGCUGUGACAAAGCCUUAAGUGUUUUCUUCAAAUUGGACUUGGAAACAGGAAUUUAUUUUACAGAUACCAUGGUUGAGCAAGUUAAGAAGGAAAUAGGAAAAACACAAAUUUUAAAGGGCAUGCUACUUUCACCAAUGUAAAGAACACGCCGAUUAACGAUCGGAUCCAGUUUAAGUACUGCAAUAGCAUCAACACCUGAUGCUUGAGACUAUAUGAGGGUAAGUGCAUAAUGGUUAUACAAUUUUUCUCUCCCUUUUCUUAGCAUAAAGGUACAACACAUGUUCUGCUGGAUUAUUCCAUAUUUAUGUGCAGAUAGGUUCAUCCGCUAGCUGAAAGAUUUUGUGUUGAUGAAUUGGUGAUUGGAUUGCCUCAACUAAGAUGAAGGGACACAACUGCUAUAGACAAAGGCAUUUGCGAGGACUUGAGAUAU
rnacentral:lncRNA from 1 species